rnacentral:piRNA from 1 species
UCCACAGUCAGAACUGUGCAAAGUGCCUCAGC